GGCCUCUUAUGGUGAGAGCAAACUGAGCUAUAAAUGUUAGUGGAUGUUUUAUAUUAUGCACUAUCUCCCCCCAAGUCUUUAGUAAGCGUUUAUAACCGCAAAUGUUGAUAAAGACUGAAGAAUAUAAAUUUCAAAAUAUAAAAGUGUCAUGUCUAUCUGUUUGGGCAGAUAUUGUCACUCUAGGUAACCCUUCUUGUUAUGAUCUUGCAAUCUUCGUAGUGCAAAUGGUAGUUUUUUGGGUUUGGGAAGGGUAGGUGUUGGUGUUUCGAUCAAGUUAGGUGAGGGUGGUGUUGCAGUGGGGUCGUCUGGGUGGUCGAGUGUGGUGGUUUGAUAUGGGAUGACUAUCAGGUUGUCUUGGUGGGGUAACUGGUUGUUGGGUAUGAAUGGGUUGUGGGCGAAUAUUGGGCCUUGUGGAAGGCACGGGUGAGGGUGGGGUGAUCCUGGUUUCGGGUGGGCAUGGUGGCUUCACAAGGACUUGAAGGUCUUUCGUGAUGGUUCGCAGUGGGUUUUUUCUUUGUA